UAGGGAAUCUUCCACAAUGGACGCAAGUCUGAUGGAGCAACGCCGCGUGAGUGAAGAAGGUUUUCGGACCGUAAAGCUCUGUUGUUGGUGAAGAAGGAUAGAGGUAGUAACUGGCCUUUAUUUGACGGUAAUCAACCAGAAAGUCACGGCUAACUACGUGCCAGCAGCCGCGGUAAUCGUAGGUGGCAAGCGUUGUCCGGAUUUAUUGGGCGUAAAGCGAGCGCAGGCGGAAGAAUAAGUCUGAUGUGAAAGCCCUCGGCUUAACCGAGGAAUUGCAUCGGAAACUGUUUUCUUGAGUGCAGAAGAGGAGAGUAGAACUCCAUGUGUAGCGGUGGAAUGCGUAGAUAUAUGGAAGAAUACCAGUGGCGAAGGCGGCUCUCUGGUCUGCAACUGACGCUGAGGCUCGAAAGCAUGGGUAGCGAACAGGAUUAGAUACCCUGGUAGUCCAUGCCGUAAACGAUGAGUGCUAAGUGUUGGGAGGCUUCCGCCUCUCAGUGCUGCAGCUAACGCAUUAAGCACUCCGCCUGGGGAGUACGACCGCAAGGCUGA
rnacentral:rRNA from 1 species